GACGAACGCUGGCGGCGUGCUUAACACAUGCAAGUCGAACGGAAAGGCCCCUCUUUUGUGGGGUGCUCGUGUGGCGAACGGGUGAGUAACACGUGAGUAACCUGCCCUUGACUUUGGGAUAACUUCAGGAAACUGGGGCUAAUACCGGAUAGGAGCUCCUGCUGCAUGGUGGUGGUUGGCAAGUUUCGGCGGUUGGGGAUGGACUCGCGGCUUAUCAGCUUGUUGGGGGGGUAGUGGCUUACCAAGGCUUUGACGGGUAGCCGGCCUGAGAGGGUGACCGGCCACAUUGGGACUGAGAUACGGCCCAGACUCCUACGGGAGGCAGGAGUGGGGAAUAUUGCACAAUGGGCGGAAGCCUGAUGCAGCAACGCCGCGUGGGGGAUGACGGCCUUCGGGUUGUAAACCGCUUUCGCCUGUGACGAAGCGGGAGUGACGGUAAUGGGUGAAGAAGCACCGGCUAACUACGUG
rnacentral:rRNA from 1 species